rnacentral:rRNA from 1 species
UACGUAGGGUGCAAGCGUUAAUCGGAAUUACUGGGCGUAAAGCGUGCGCAGGCGGUUUUGUAAGUUUGUCGUGAAAGCCCCGGGCUCAACCUGGGAAUUGCGAUGAAGACUGCAAGGCUUGAAUCUGGCAGAGGGGGGUAGAAUUCCACGUGUAGCAGUGAAAUGCGUAGAGAUGUGGAGGAACACCGAUGGCGAAGGCAGCCCCCUGGGUCAAGAUUGACGCUCAUGCACGAAAGCGUGGGGGAGCAAACAGG